UUACGACCAUAUCACGUUUCUACACCGGUUCUCGUACGAUCAACGAAGUUAAGCAACGUCGAGUCAGGUCAGUACCAAGAUGGGUGACCGGCUGGGAAUACCAGGUGCUGUAAG